CUUAGUGGCGAACGGGUGAGUAACGCGUGAGUAACCUGCCCUGGAGUGGGGGGACAACAGUUGGAAACGACUGCUAAUACCGCAUAAGCCCACGGAUCCGCAUGGAUCUGCGGGAAAAGGAUUUAUUUGCUUCAGGAUGGACUCGCGUCCAAUUAGCUAGUUGGUGAGGUAACGGCCCACCAAGGCGACGAUUGGUAGCCGGACUGAGAGGUUGAACGGCCACAUUGGGACUGAGACACGGCCCAGACUCCUACGGGAGGCAGAUG
rnacentral:rRNA from 1 species